UGAAUCCAGCAUAGUAAAGUUUAACCAACAACUAUUAGUUAGCCUUGGAGGGAGACAGGCAACUGUCUCCUUUAAGCGUAGGCAAACGAGUUAGCAGGCCGAAAGCGAUAGCUGAAGGGAUUGAGCCACGAAAUUCGAAUUAGGAAGGCUGAUGUAGUUGUCUGUACAGAAAGCAACACUCUGCUAAUCGCUUUGGUGAGAAUAGCAGAGCUUCCUCGGGGUCGGAGACCU
rfam:Peptoclostridium acidaminophilum DSM 3953 chromosome, complete genome.